CCUACGGGUGGCUGCAGUGGGGAAUAUUGCACAAUGGGGGAAACCCUGAUGCAGCGACGCCGCGUGAUCGAUGAAGGACUUCGGGAUGUAAAGCUCUUUCAUCAGGGAAGAAAUUUACGGUUACUCGCAAAGUAGCCCCGGCUAACUACCUGCCAGCAGCCGCGGUAAUACCUAGGGGGCAAGCGUUUUCCGGAUUUACUGGGGGGAAAGGGGGGGUAGACGGGGAUGCAAGCCAGAUGUGAAAGCCCGGGGCUCAACCCCGCGACUGCAUUUGGAAAUGUGUGGCUGGAGUGUCGGAGAGGCAGGCGGAAUUCCUAGUGUAGCGGUGAAAUGCGUAGAUAUUAGGAGGAACACCAGUGGCGAAGGCGGCCUGCUGGACGAUGACUGACGUUGAGGCUCGAAAGCGUGGGGAGCAAACAGGAUUAGAUACCCGAGUAGUC
rnacentral:rRNA from 1 species